rnacentral:tRNA from 1 species
GCGGGCAUAGUGUAGUCUGGUAUCACAUAGGCUUGCCAAGCCUAUAACUCGGGUUCAAAUCCCGGUGCCCGCA